ensembl:lncRNA
UUUAAACAAUGUGCGAUGGAAGUUAGUUCCGUGCAAUAAUGGCUCUAUAUAAUAUUGUAUGCUUUCUUGAAUUUGUUCUGGAUUUGGGGACUGAGAAAAUACACCUGGUGGUAUGUCAGUGCUGUGCGUAAGUUGACUAUGGAAACAAUUUGGAAUUUAUCACAUUAAUGUUUCUUAUAAAAAGAAGUGAUGCAGUCAGUCUCUCAUUAACUUUUAGCCAGGAAAGACUGAUUACAAUGAAGAGCAAGAUGUGGCACUCUGUUCUGGGCCACCUGCAGCUUAACUAGGUCUUUCUUUGCAGCAUGUGACCACAUGACAGGACAAUAAUCAAGAUAAGACUAAACUAGAGCCUGCAGUACUUGCUUUUUUGGAGUGUGGUGUCAAAAAAGCACGGCAUCUGUUUAUUAUUAACAGACCUCUCCCCAUCUCUACAAUCAUUGAAUCUAUAUGUUUUGACCAUGACAGUUUACAAUCUAAGGUAAACACUAUCACAGCUCAGGAAAAGACCCAGAUGCAGACAGUUCGAAUAAUGGACAUUCUUGGAUCCCGGGCGAUAGGAGAGGGAGAAGUUGAACCGGGUGAAAAACAGGGCCUACCGAGCUUGCCUAGAAUUGAGACGCUUGGUGGUGGAGAUAUUCCAGGUUCUUGUGAUCCUUCCACACAGUGAAAGGAUGUUCCGCUCCCUCCAACCAGUGCCUCCACUCCUCCAACGCCAUCUUCACACGAUUCCCCACGUCGUAAUUCCUCUCCGUGGCGUUAAGACGAUGGGAGAAGUAGACACAGGGAUGCAGUUUAAGGUCCAGGGCGGAACGUUGGGACAGGACAGCCUCCACACCGACAUCCGAAGCGUUGGCCUCCACCCCGAACUGGCGAGAUGGGUCGGGAUGGACUAAUAUGGGAGCUGUGAUGAAGCGGUGCUUGAGGUCCAGGAACGCUCGGUCAGCAGCUGGGGACCACGUGAAUGGAACCUUGGGAGAGAAAACUGGUUCUCAAGGAGGUGCUGGAGGACCUGUCGAAUGUGGAGCAUGUGUUCUUGGGCUGAGCGGGAGAAGACGUGGAGGUCGUCGAGGUAGACGAACACGAACCGGUUCAACAUGUUGUGGAGAAUGUCAUUAACCAGGGCCUGGAACACAGUUGGAGCGUUGGUCAGACCCAAUAGCAUAACCAGUGUCGUGUCUUUGGCUAUGCCAGAUUAAGUGAUAUGACAUGCUAUUCUAUAAAAUAAUUCAUUCAUAUUAACUGAUUGAGCUAAUCAUGUAAAUGUAAUUAACUAGAGAGUUGAGCACCACAAAAUAAUAUUUAUAGAGCUGUUAUCUUCCGAAUAAACUCUUAAGCCAGUACAUGUCCACGCCCGUCUGAAGUUUGCUAGAGAGCAUUUGGAUGAUCCAGAAGAAGA